UUCUUGUGACAUUGUAGAGCGUAAGUAGGUCUUCAACAAUUUCAACUUGGAAAAACUUCUCUCUCGUCUUCUUGAUAAAUCAAGAAAU